CGGCAGGUGAGUUGUUACACACUCCUUAGCGGAUUCCGACUUCCAUGGCCACCGUCCUGCUGUCUUUAUCACCCAAUCACCUUUUAGAUGGGAAGAGCGU